GCUGUGGCAGAUCAGCUCCUCCUGAUGGUGUCUGAUGUCACUCCUUUCAACUAGCGUAUUAUGAGACUCAGGCUAAGGCACUCCUUGGGUGUCUUGUCUGUUAUCUCAAUGUAUGCUCCGGCCGAGUGAUGUCUCGUUGAGGGAGACAUUUUACUCGCUCAGUGGUUGAUAGGUGCGAUGAGGUGACACUCCUUUGGUCAUGGGUGACUUCAGUGUGGCCACUGGCACUGACAGGGCUGGCUAUGAGGAUUGUGUUGGUCCCCGCGGGUUUGGUACCUGGGCUGAAAGUGGCUCCAUGUUCCUUGACUUUGAGAAAGGUCAGGGGCUGUGUGGUGAUGGAUCCUGGUUCCAUAGCCCUGAGCUGCAUCAUUGGACUUGGUACACUGAUGGUGCAGUGAAGGAGAUCGAUCGCAUCCUUGUGAGCAGAUGCUGGAGGUUCCUGCAGCCUGCAGAGUUUGUGAAUUCUGACCACAGACUUCUUGUUGCUUCUCUGAAGAUUCAGCUUAGAUCCAGUAGGCUACCACUUAUUAGGAGAAUGAGGGUAGACUUGGCAAGACUCUAAGAUCAAGCUAUUUGUGAUAAGUUUGCAUGUAGUUUGUGUGAGGAACUUGUAUACUUGGGUGUGACUGCCUACUCUAAUGUGAUGUGGGAGACCUUCCGUGACAAGACCCUGAAGGUUGCUAUGGGUUAUGUUUGUGUUACUGGUUUUGCCAGAAGGAGGUUUUUCAUGUCGUAGGGCACCCUAGAUAUUAUCAAGAGGAGGCGCCGGGCAGGACUCGGUGGCAACUCCCGUCUGUACCAGCAAUUGAGGAGGACAGCUGUGAGGCCUCUGAGGGCAGAUAAAGACGUGUUUGUUAGAUGAAUCUGUGAGCAGGUGACACACCAUCUGUAGUCUAGUGACCCACAUCCUGCUUACAGAGGUAUCGAAGCAUUACGUGCAUCUGAAUCUUUUCCUCAGAGAGUAGCAAUCAGGGCAGGUGAAGGAACACUACAGUUGUGAACCUCUGGGCCAGCUACUUGGAGUGGCUGUUUAAAGAUGACCCUCCAGCUAGGACGUUGGACAUCUCUGGGUCCACAGUUCUUGAGGCCGAUCCUCCAAUCAGCUGUGAACCACCCGAUCUGGAAGGGUCAACAACCAGGAUCCCAAGGUGUUUCAUAUAUGAGUGUGAGAUGAAGAUACUUCACCGAGAAGUGAAUUUACUGAUCUGUACAAGGGAGGACAGACCGUUGCCCUUGAUGUGACACAGAACGGUCACAGCAGCGUGGAUUUAAAGUGCGAUCCGGGUUUGCACCUGUGAAUGCUUGCAGAGCCGUGGUCAUGUGAUUUUUGGUCAGUGAUUUUUAUGUAAGUGUGGCAGUAGUGCACAACUUAUCUAAUAUACAAAACAUGAAAGAAGGGUGGUGUU